rnacentral:rRNA from 1 species
UACAGAGGGGGCCAGCGUUAUUCGGAAUUAUUGGGCGUAAAGGGCGCGUAGGCGGCCAUGCGUGUCUUCCGUGAAAUCCCUCGGCUCAACCGAGGACGUGCGGAAGAAACUGCAAGGGCUCGAGUCCGGGAAAGAGGGGGGGCGGAAUUCCCAGUGUAGCGGUGAAAUGCGCAGAUAUCAGGAGGAACACCGGUGGCGAAGGCGGGUCUCUGGGCCGAUACUGACGCUGGAGGAGCGAAAGCGUGGGGAGCGAACAGG